CCAUGUAAGAAGUCCGUUUGGUCUUCCUUUGUCUUCUGCCAUGAUUGUGAGGCCUCCCCAGCCAUGUGGAACUGUACUCAAACUGUGGCCCAAAUGCUGGUAGCAUUGGCAUCAACUGGAAGCUUGUUAGAAAUGUAGAAUCUCAGAUCUCACCCCAGAAUGGACUAUGGACUCAGAAUCUGCAUUUUAAUAAGAUUCACAAUUCACAGUAUAAAAUAAUGAGAUGGCUGAUCCUGCAAAGAGGCGCGGUGACAUCAACAGUGACUCAGUCUCUAUGAUGGUAUUAGUAACUGGCAGCUGACUCUCCUAUUUAUCAUCAAGUUAUGUUCCAAAUAAGACUUUCAAGUCUGAGAAAAAUGACAAAUCCCUUCCAGGCAUGGUUCAAGUUAAAGCUGAAACUGUGUCUUCGUUUCAGCUCAAGAGAGGUUUUGAUUGUGUCGUGGCUUUUCCUUGUGUAUUGGUUGAGGAACUGUGCCUUGGAGGGGCGGGGAGUCUUGAGAAUGGAUCAACUGAUGGAGGGGGAGUGGAAGACGUUGAUUGCCCAAGAAAAUAUGUCAACAUCUGUCCAUCACUGCAACUCCGGCCUGAUUAUCAUUUUUUCUGCUUCUGUAAGCACCAAUGAGACAAUGCCACUGAGCCACAUUCUUUGUUGCCUGCAGUAUUUCCCACCACUGCGCCACCUCUGAUAUGCUAAUGAGGAAGCCCAGGGUUUUGUGUGGCUGAAAAGCCUUUCAGGCACAAUCAGUGGGUCAACAAUCUCAGCUCUGUACAGUGGCUCAGCCUGCUGUGUGAGAGGCUCCUCUUUCGGAGGGGUCCUUCCUCACACCUUUUCUGUGAGUGUGUCUGUGCUUAAGGAAGGGCAAUUAACCAUCUGGCUGCUUGUCCCCUGGAGAAAUUGACAGAACAUCAAACAGAAUAAACUCAUACCUUGAAAACUGCCAAGUGGCACAUGACUGUCCAGUUCACUGUGGGGAGAAGCCACUAACCAAUGGUCUGAAUGUAAAAAUGACCCAGUGGCACCAGUUUGUAGUAAAACUUUGAUGAUAGAACUCCAUGCAAAUUCUGACUGCAUAAUGCUGGUGCUUGAUGUAAAUCUCCCAAUGUAACUGUCAAGGUUUAAAAAUAUCUUACGUAGGUGUUCAGAAUCAUAAGGUCAUAGAAUUAUAAAAUGUUAACUGGCAGAAGUAUUUUCUUCUUUGUCAUACGAAAAAGAGUAAUUUGCUCAUACUAAGUCUUCAAUAUUUAUGUAUUGGAUUGCAAUUAACAGGAAUCAAAGGAAUCUUAUAAGGAUCAUUUAUCUAGAAUUAUCUCUAUUUUCUAGAAUUACUUAAUGAUCAUUGUGUCUUUAUUCAGCCUAAGUAACAUUGAAAUUUUUCUUCAUUCAAAUAAAUUCAUACUCAUAAAGCCUUUCCCCACUUUUCAUUUCAUAUUCUAACUCUUUCUACCGGUAUUGCAAAGAAAUACUGUUGCCCUCCAUUAAAACCUGAACUGCC
rnacentral:lncRNA from 1 species